UAGGGAAUCUUCCACAAUGGACGAAAGUCUGAUGGAGCAACGCCGCGUGAGUGAAGAAGGGUUUCGGCUCGUAAAACUCUGUUGUUAAAGGAGAACAUAUCUGAGAGUAACUGUUCAGGUAUUGACGGUAUUUAACCAGAAAGCCACGGCUAACUACGUGCCA
rnacentral:rRNA from 1 species